rnacentral:rRNA from 1 species
UCAUAUGUACAUGCCUACAACAUUAAUGCAUUGGAUUCCAUUAGAACUAUAUAGUUAAGUGCACUUAGGCUGGAGUAGUACUAGGAUUGGUGACCUCUCGAAAAGUCCUAGUGUUUUACAUGCC